UACGGAGGGUGCAAGCAUUAAUCGGAUUUAUUGGGCGUAAAGGGCGCGUAGGCGGAGAUACAAGUCAGAUGUGAAAUCCCGGGGCUCAACCUCGGAACUGCAUUUGAAACUGUAUCCCUAGAGGGUAGGCGGAGAAAACGGAAUUCCACAAGUAGCGGUGAAAUGCGUAGAUAUGUGGAAGAACACCGGUGGCGAAGGCGGUUUUCUAGCUUAUUCCUGACGCUGAUGCGCGAAAGCAAGGGGAUCAAACAGGAUUAGAUACCCGAGUAGU
rnacentral:rRNA from 1 species